rnacentral:rRNA from 1 species
UACGAAGGGGGCUAGCGUUGCUCGGAAUCACUGGGCGUAAAGCGCACGUAGGCGGAUUGCUAAGUCGGGGGUGAAAUCCUGGAGCUCAACUCCAGAACUGCCUUCGAUACUGGCGAUCUUGAGUCCGGGAGAGGUGAGCGGAACUCCGAGUGUAGAGGUGAAAUUCGUAGAUAUUCGGAAGAACACCAGUGGCGAAGGCGGCUCACUGGCCCGGUACGUGACGCUGAGGUGCGAAAGCGUGGGGAGCAAACAGG